rnacentral:tRNA from 1 species
CGGAGUAUAGCGCAGCCUGGUAGCGCACUUGGCUGGGGGCCAAGGGGUCGCAGGUUCAAAUCCUGCUACUCCGACCA